rnacentral:rRNA from 1 species
AAUGGCGAGUUUGAUCCUGGCUCAGGAUGAACGCUGGCGGUAUGCUUAACACAUGCAAGUCGAACGAAGCUAUUUUUUUGAACCUUCGGGGGAAGUUAAAUAGACUGAGUGGCGAACGGGUGAGUAAUACGCAAGAACCUACCUCUAGGAAGGGGAUAACAAUUGGAAACGAUUGCUAAUACCCUAUAUGCUUCCGAGUAAAAUAGUUUUUUGCCUGGAGAGGGGCUUGUGCCUGAUUAGCUAGUUGGUUAGGUAAUGGCUAACCAAGGCGACGAUCAGUAGCUGGCUUGAGAGGGCGACCAGCCACACUGGGACUG